rnacentral:lncRNA from 1 species
AAACAACAAUAAACUGUUGCAGAGAGAGAGAAUAGACUUGCAAAGCAAAGAGAGAAAAGAAAACAAGAAACUGUUUCAGAGAGGGAAAAUAGACUUGCAAAGCAAGGAGAGAAAAGGAAACAGGUAAAACAACCAGAAACUGUUGCAGAGAGAGAGAAUAGACUUGCAAAGCAAAGAGAGAAAAGAAAACAAGAAACUGUUUCAGAGAGGGAAAAUAGACUUGCAAAGCAAGGAGAGAAAAGAAAACAGGCAAAACAACUUGAAACUGUUGCAGAGAGAGAGAGAACAGACUUGCAAAGCAAAGAGAGAAAAGAAAACAAGAAACUGUUUCAGAGAGAGAAAAUAGACUUGCAAAGCAAGGAGAGAAAAGGAAACAGGCAAAACAACCAGAAACUGUUGCAGAGAGAGAGAAUAGACUUGCAAAGCGAAGAGAAAAAAGAAAACAAGAAAAUGUUUCAGAGAGGGAAAAUAGGCUUGCAAAGCAAGGAGAGAAAAGGAAACAGGUA